rnacentral:rRNA from 1 species
GACGAACGCUGACGGCGUGCUUAACACAUGCAAGUCGAAGGGAGUGGCGAACGGGUGAGUAACACGUGAGUAACCUGCCCUUUUCGUUGGUAUAAGCCUGGGAAACUGGGUCAAAUACUAGAAGGAUUGGGGUGGGACCGGGGUUGAUCAGGUUGUUUGUGGGGUGAUGGCUUACCAAGGCUUUGACGGGUAGCCGGCCUGAGAGGGUCGUCGGUCACACUGGGAGUGCGAGACGGCCCCGGCUCCUACGGGGGGCGGAAGUGGGGGAUAUUGCAGAAUGGACGAAAGGCUGCUGCGGCGACGUCGUGUGGGGUAUGAGGGCCUUAGGGUUGUUAACUCCUUUCGCCCGCGGAAUGGUAGUGGGUAAAGAAGCGCCGGCUAACUACGUGCCAGCAGCCGCGGUAAUAC